CCUCGAAGGAUCUCCCUAAGAGCAGACUACCUCCCAGGGUAGAUACAUAUCACCACAGAUUGGUUCUCGCACCUGUAGAGGGACCAGCAGACUUUAGCAUUCUUCAAUUGGCUGCCAGAUCCGGAGUGCACAAUGGUGGAUGCAUUCCUGCAGACUGGGACUCCCCCGGGGGCGUACGUUUUUUCGUCCUUCACAAUAAUUGUGAGAGUUAU